GCACACGUAGGCUGGUGGCUCGGCCGGCAGUUGGCGACCUGAGCAGGUUCUAUGACAGAGGCUACUGAGCUGCGGUGGGUCCUGUCGGUGGAAAUUUGGUGACCCUUCUGGCUACAGCUCUUGACCAGAACUGGGACAAUCCAUUGUACCACAUCUUCCAACUCCACUUGUUAUUAUGGUGCAACAACGGAAAGAAAGCUCUCUGAUGCUCAACUUUUCCAAGUAGUAGACCAAGAAUGAUGGUAACCCACUGCUACCAGCAUCGCUCACCACGGAGAUGAGAAAUGCUUCAACAUCACUCAAUACAGAACAAGAAAUCUUUACCCUAGACACUUAAGCUCAGAAGCACCUUGUAAGAUGUACUAUGAUCCUGUCUUCCAGAAGAGGAAACAGUUCAGUGGAACUGACUUACCCAAGUACACACAACUAAAAAAUGUAGAAUCUGAACCCAGGCUGUCUGACUCCAAAGUCAUGGCUCUUUCCUAUACAAAGGGGUAAACUUCAUGGAGAGUUGAGCAGAGCAGCAAGGGCAACUGGUCUAAUGUUACAUAUUAAUACCAAGCAUUUUCUACGCUUGUAGCAGGUAGUUUAUGACUAUGUUACUCUUCAGUCACUCAAGAAAAUAAUAGAAACCACAGGAGUUUGACUUUUCAGGAGCGGUAACAAAAACCUGAAAUUACUCAGAAUCAAUGAGAAAGAGUCAACAACUCAAGCUGGGAACUACUUCCCUCUGUGCACCGGCUGUAGAGCAAAUGACUCCAAAUGGGCUGAGAGCUGAUAAAAUGGAUCUAAUUUCAUCCAAACUGCUCAAAAAGGUGUCUUCUAGCGAGUUCCUUCCCUUCCAACACUCCCAAUCCCUCUAGCCCAUCCCCAUUCAUACAGUAACUGGAUUCUCAUCUUUGGGAAAGGAAAUAGAGAAAUCAGGGAUUCAGGAUACCCAAAAUGUACAUCAUUAUAGCAGUUAUGUUGUUACCUA